AAAUGCUGUAUUAGCUGGCUAUGGCUUCUGUCACCCCACUGAUUGUCAUGGCUGAUUCUGCUGAUCUGUCUAGGUGGGUGACCCCUUCCUCCUUCUCCCUCGCUGCUCCAUGUGUAUCUCUCCUGAAGCUAUGUACUCAGUGGAAGAGAAAGAUCAUCACUGAUAGAAGAGGACACUUUCCUCAGUCAAAGGUAUACAAGUAGCUGUACUCCCCUACUAGAACUUCCAAAAAAGCUCUCAAAAAGUCAUAUACUUGCCAGGGUUACAGCUCAGCAGCAAGGCACCUGCCAGGCAAGCAUGAGGUCCUG
ensembl:misc_RNA 7SK 7SK RNA